AAUAGAUACCCGGGUAGUCCACGCCGUAAACGAUGAGUGCUAGGUGUUGGUGGAGACAUCCAUCAGUGCCGCAGCUAACGCAUUAAGCACUCCGCCUGGGGAGUACGGUCGCAAGACUGAAACUCAAAGGAAUUGACGGGGACCCGCACAAGCAGCGGAGCAUGUGGUUUAAUUCGACGCAACGCGAAGAACCUUACCAAGGCUUGACAUCCCCUUGACAGGUCUAGAGAUAGGCCCUCUUCUUCGGGAGCAAGGGAGACAGGUGGUGCAUGGUUGUCGUCAGCUCGUGUCGUGAGAUGUUGGGUUAAGUCCCGCAACGAGCGCAACCCUUGCCUUUAGCUGCCAUCAGGUAAAGCUGGGCACUCUAGAGGGACUGCCGGUGACAAACCGGAGGAAGGUGGGGAUGACGUCAAAUCAUUAUGCCCCUUAUGUCUUGGGCUACACACGUGCUACAAUGGUCGGUACAACGGGAAGCGAGACUGUGAAGUUGAGCAAAACCCAAUAAGCCGAUCCCAGUUCGGAUUGUAGG
rnacentral:rRNA from 1 species